rnacentral:rRNA from 1 species
GAAUCAACGCUGGCGGCGUGCGUCAGACAUGCAAUCGAACGAUUGACUUCCUUCGGGAAAGAUAUAAAGUGGCGCACGGGUGAGUAACACGUAAGUAAUCUACCUUCGGAUGGGGAAUAACAGUCGGAAACGACUGCUAAUACCGCAUAAUGCAGCGGCAUCAUAAGAUGACAGUUGUUAAAGUAUUUAUACGUCUGGAGAGGAGCUUGCGGCAGAUUAGCUAGUUGGUAAGGUAACGGCUUACCAAGGCUACGAUCUGUAUCCGACCUGAGAGGGUGGUCGGACACACUGACACUGAAUAACGGGUCAGACUCCUACGGGAGGCAGCAGUCGGGAAUUUUGGGCAAUGGGCGAAAGCCUGACCCAGCAACGCCGCGUGAAGGAUGAAGUCUUUCGGGAUGUAAACUUCGUAAGAAUAGGAAGAAUAAAUGACGGUACUAUUUGUAAGGUCCGGCUAACUACGUGCCAGCAGCCGCGGUAAUACGUAGGGACCAAGCGUUGUUCGGAUUUACUGGGCGUAAAGGGCGCGUAGGCGGCGUGUCAAGUCAAUUGUGAAAUCUCCGAGCUUAACUCGGAACGGUCAAUUGAUACUGAUGUGCUAGAGUGCAGAAGGGGCAAUCGGAAUUCUUGGUGUAGCGGUGAAAUGCGUAGAUAUCAAGAGGAACACCUGAGGUGAAGACGGGUUGCUGGGCUGACACUGACGCUGAGGCGCGAAAGCUAGGGUAGCAAACGGGAUUAGAUACCCCGGUAGUCCUAGCCCUAAACGAUGAAUACUUGGUGUCUGGAAUAUUAAUUUUCCGGGUGCCGUCGCUAACGUUUUUAGUAUCCGCC